rnacentral:misc_RNA from 1 species
UUUCCGUAGGUGAACCUGCGGAAGGAUCAUUACAGUAGUCGCCUGGGUUGCCGCAAGGCCUCCCGGGUAACCUACCACCCUUUGUUUAUUACACUUUGUUGCUUUGGCAGGCCUGCCCUCGGGCUGCUGGCUCCGGCCGGCGAGCGCUUGCCAGAGGACCUAAACUCUGUUUGUCUAUACUGUCUGAGUACUAUAUAAUAGUUAAACUUUCAACAACGGAUCUCUUGGUUCUG